rnacentral:rRNA from 1 species
UUUGGUGGACAUAGCGUGAGCGAUACACCCGAUCCCAUCCCGAACUCGGCCGUUAAGCGCCACAGCGCCGAUGGUACUGCGACUCAAGUCGUGGGAGAGUAGGUCACCGCCAAAC